AAACGGGGUACCUAUUACCCGCGAUAAUACUUUCUCUCUCAUGGAGGGAAGGUUAAAAGCUCCGGCGGUGAAGGAUGAGCCCGCGGCCUAUCAGCUAGUUGGUGGGGUAAUGGCCUACCAAGGCGACGACGGGUAGCCGGCCUGAGAGGGCGACCGGCCACACUGGGACUGAGACACGGCCCAGACUCCUACGGGAGGCAGCAGUGGGGAAUAUUGCACAAUGGGCGAAAGCCUGAUGCAGCGACGCCGCGUGAGGGAUGACGGCCUUCGGGUUGUAAACCUCUUUCAGCAGGGAAGAAGCGAAAGUGACGGUACCUGCAGAAGAAGCGCCGGCUAACUACGUGCCAGCAGCCGCGGUAAUACGUAGGGCGCAAGCGUUGUCCGGAAUUAUUGGGCGUAAAGAGCUCGUAGGCGGCUUGUUGCGUCGGUUGUGAAAGCCCGGGGCUUAACCCCGGGUCUGCAGUCGAUACGGGCAGGCUAGAGUGUGGUAGGGGAGAUCGGAAUUCCUGGUGUAGCGGUGAAAUGCGCAGAUAUCAGGAGGAACACCGGUGGCGAAGGCGGAUCUCUGGGCCAUUACUGACGCUGAGGAGCGAAAGCGUGGGGAGCGAACAGGAUUAGAUACCCUGGUAGUCCACGCCGUAAACGUUGGGAACUAGGUGUUGGCGACAUUCCACGUCGUCGGUGCCGCAGCUAACGCAUUAAGUUCCCCGCCUGGGGAGUACGGCCGCAAGGCUAAAACUCAAAGGAAUUGACGGGGGGCCCGCACAA
rnacentral:rRNA from 1 species